rnacentral:lncRNA from 1 species
GGUCCCCGACUUCGAGGUCGAGGGUCGUGGCUCGGUCGGAGUAGCCUUGCGUCAAGAGGCCUUCUUGUCCCGUCCUCUUGGCUGGUCGUGGGCUUCGCACGCCCUGUACGGCGGCUCCUGUGCGGCGUGGGUCGCUUACGCACGGCCUGACCUGCUUUUGCGGCAUGCCCUGUCCCGUCCGCCAACCCCGUGGUAGUGAACGUGACGAAAGCAACCACUGACGUUCGCACCGAAGAUGAGUGGGUGAACCUCGGUCAGCGGCCUGAGCGGGGUGUGCCGCUUCCCUCAGCUUUCCCCGACCUGCCCACGG